CCUGCCAAACCCGGAGGGCGGCGCGCGCGAACCGUGUCCGAACCGCACGGCGGCGUCCUGGGGGGUCCACUGUGAGGACGGGGGGUCCACCGUGAGGACGGAGCUCCCUCUCCUCAGCACCCACCCCGGAGGGGCCGGGGCUUGGGACACCUGGGGACACCUGGGGCCGCGUCCGGUGUGAAGACAGGGAGACGCUGCUGCAGCUCCGGGACACCUGGGGCCGCCGAGGCAAAGCAGGCGUAACCCAACACCUAUCUCAGCUUUAAGAAUCCAAUAUUACCUUCACUCUGUGUGGAGACUGCAGUCCUCUGGAAAGGUGAAAGGGCUAAUCCUACUCUACAGAAGACUCCAGCUAAAUCAGACGCCUGACUAUCUCCAACACCCAUAGCUUACUGCGGGUUUGAACUGCUCCAAAGUAAAACGUAUAAUUAAGUCCUGUUGAGUUAACAUGUGGAAGGCCUUUCCUAACGACAGAUCUCCUAAUAGAUGAAAAGACUCAUCAAUUACAAAAAUAUGUCAUCAAUCUGGGACAGGUGCAAAGGCACUCCGUGCAUAUGGAAACAAG
rnacentral:lncRNA from 10 species